GCUCUCGCUGCGGUUCCCCUCCUCGUCGUCCGACAUCAAGGUCAGGUCCGCGGGGUAGGAGAACGGAUGCGUGGACACCGGCCUCAGCAUAGCGAAAGCCAUCAUAGGUCACGUGCUGCUCUUUGUCCUGCUUCCCCGGAGCAAAUCAAGAAGAGGCAAAUCAAAGCGACAACAGCUGCUGAAUGAGGAUGCUGCGUGUGAUUAGCCUGAGAGGAGCAUCUUGCUACCAACAACCCACACGAGCCAAAGUGAUGGAUGAGUCUGGAACACUCAACCGGGUGGGUUUCUCUCUUUUAGGCACAAGGAUAAAUGUUCGAAGUGCAGUUCUGAAAAUGACAGACUUGAAGUAGAAGGCUUUUCUUUCAAACUGAGUACAGAUGCUCACAAAAUCACAAAAUACCCAUGUAAGAAAUGGACAAAAUGGCAACAUAUUGUGGCAGAAGGAGAGUUUCCCCAACACAUUGUCAAGAAUAUAAUACUAGUUAUGGGAAACCCCUUACUUUCUUCACUACCAGGACCUGAGUACUAAUUUAGUGUCACCUCAUGUGAAUACGAGUGCUGACAAUAAAGAACCUUGAAUCCUUGAGAGGAAAAAAUUCUAUGAUAAUCCACUUUGGCCAUCUUCUGCGGUCUUUUGGUGUUGCUGAGCUGACCAGUGAAUUCUUUUUUUAUUAAAAAAUGAAACAAUUUGUUGAUUUUACAACUCCUAAA